UACGGGGGGGAGCAAGCGUUGUUCGGAUUUACUGGGCGUAAAGGGCGCGUAGGCGGCGUGACAAGUCACUUGUGAAAUCUCCGGGCUUAACUCGGAACGGUCAAGUGAUACUGUCGUGCUAGAGUACAGAAGGGGCAACUGGAAUUCUCGGUGUAGCGGUGAAAUGCGCAGAUAUCAGGAGGAACACCGAUGGCGAAAGCGACGGGCUGGAUCUCUACUGACGCUGAGGCGCGAAAGCCAGGGGAGCAAACGGG
rnacentral:rRNA from 1 species